UUCUUUCUUUUUUUUUUUUUUUCCCCCUUUUCUUUCUUUCUUUUUCCAUCCAAGCAAACAUAGGAUUUAGCUACACUCUUUGGAAAUGAGCAUGGUGUGGCUUUCUAUUUAUGCACCAGUUUUUUUAUUUUAAUUUAAUCCACCUGCUGAGGCUGGUUUGCUGUGGCUUAAGUAUUUUUUAAUGUUUUGAUAAUGGUAUUCUGAUAUUUUAUGGGCUUCGAGUCAUUGUUUGCUUUUGUUUUAGUUAAUUACCUGCAUAUCUUUUUAUUUGCCUAUAGAAUAAGUUACAAUGAGAUCAAAGAGAUGGUGUCAAGUAGCUUGGUUUGAUUAAUGGCUUUAUUUCUAUAAGGGAAUCAGCUUUGUGUUAAUUUCAUAUUUCAAAUAUAUAUAUAAUCACAAUAUGAUUACAAUGACUAUGAAAUUGUUAAUUUAUUAAUUUAAGAAAUUAUAGUACUAUAAUUUUUUUAUUCAAACCGUAUAUAAUAUAUUUUAUGUGUAGAAAAUAAAAAAAAUUAAAUAAAUUUUGUAAUAAAUUAUAAAUAAUAAUUUUAUUUAAAAUAUAUACAUAUAAAAAGUUUAUUUAUUAAUAUUAUUAUAAAAAUUUUAAUAAAAAAAUUACACCAGCAGCAUUGUGCCAGUAUGAUAUAGCUUGUAUAUAGCUAAGGGUGUGUUUGAAUUGCUAUUGAAAAUUAUUGUUGAGAAAAUUAUUGAGAAAAUUA
rnacentral:misc_RNA from 1 species